rnacentral:lncRNA from 1 species
UGGAGCAGGUGGGUGACAGGCUCCCAGCAGCUGGGGUGAGGAGCUGGCCACAGCCAUGGCACUGCCGGCAGCACCGCCUCCCAGCCUCUCCAGGGUCUUCCUGUCUGCCCCGGCCUGGCCUGCCCCUGCCCCUGCAUCCGGCUUAGGACACAGGCGAGCCAGGCCUGCGGUGCCCCCACUCGGCUCCUGAGCUGUGUCCCCUGAAUGCCCCAGGGCGGGGGCCACACACACAGCCACUGCUGGUUGACCCACAGGACGAGGGGCGAGGGAUUCUGGGGAUUUUAUUUCCAUUCAAGUCCUGGCGAGCACUGGAGAGCCAACUACAUGGACGGUGUGGUCACUUCAAGCAAGGUCUGUCCCAGGGCCAGAUGAGCAGACUGAGGUGGCCAAGGCUGUCCUUUCCCCUAGGACAAUGCCCAGCCACGGUUCUGGCAUCGAGACUCCUGACCUCAGCCCCCACACAGGACACAGCCCCCCAGGCAUCUGGGCUGCCCCAGCACACACUCCAGCCCCUCUGAUACACAAGGGGCCUUGGAAAGGGGUCUCCGGGAGGACACUGGCCUCUGGAGCCUUCUGUGUGUCUGAGCCCAUGUGGAGGACCUGUCCUCCAGGGAGACACACAGAGCGAGUGUGGGCCUUGUGCUCUGACCGCCUGCUCAGUGGCCCGCACAGCGUCCGUCACCACCUCCUCCCAGAAAUUCCUCAUCCUCCCUGACUACCCCCUGGACACGGCUCCCUGACCCUGGCUCCCACACGCUCCCUGCCCUUUGCACCCGGGUGACCACUCAGGUCACUGAGCCCAGGUCACCAAAGGCAUCCUCAUAUAGGGGACAAGUGCAUGGUGUGCCGCCCUGGGGCUGCUGUGCCCACGGUUGUGCCGGCUCCUGGGGGCCCUGCCACGUCUGACUUCACAGCGGCCAGGCCUCCAGCCUCACCCAUGCUCACUCCGACCUCACUGCUUCCCCAGCCUCGCCUCGCAGGAGCGGGGUGUCACCUGCCACGCCCCCGGGAAGUCCCCUUCUCUGCUCCCAUAGAACCUGUCCCUGCAGGACCUCCUGUGCAACUGGGCCGGCCCUUCAGGGAGUACAAGCUGUGGGCCCUGUGCCUGGCCUGCCUCCGCGCCCUGCAGCCUACCUGUGCCCGGACUCCGUGCUGGUGGCUGAGGACGGGACGGUGCUCCUCAGGCCGGCCCCUGACAAUGGUGCGUCAGCAGGGGCACCCCGGGACCGUGGUCCAGGGCCGCUGGCCAGGCCGAGGGGAACACAGCGGGGCCUGCUCUUCCCGGGCCCCACAACUCCUUCCUGGCUCCUGAGGCGGCCGGGAAAAGCCGGUGAGCAAGAAUGUAACUGGGCGGUCUCUCCCCAGGCCCAAGGUCCCCCACUGCCGGCCGCCCUGGGAUGGUGCAGACCUGAGACAGCUAAAUCCGAGAACUCAGAACCCUUGGCUCCCACACAGGCAGAGGACACAGCAAGGGCAGGGCAGCGGCCGGCGUGGGGAGCCUGGUGGGGAGCCGAGGAAAGGCCGCCGCGCCGGGGCUCUCUGUCCAGGCACAGGAGCGCGAUGGAGGCUUCAGCCUUUGACGGCCCUGGACAGCCAGCCCGGCAGGGCGCAUAGAAGGGCUGCCAGGAGCUGAGGCUGGGGGUGGGGCCUCCCCGCUAUCACAGCCCCCCAGUGUCAGGGGGUUGGCCGGGUGACGGGAGCGGCAGCAUAGGAGGGCGUGGCACGAGACCGCAGUGAACGCCUGCACGGACAGCACAGAGGCCGGGAACACCCAAGAGGGGCGGGCGGCACCGAGGCCGCGCCUCCGUGGGCAGCCACGGCACGCUGGCGAUGUAAACACGCACGCGGCAGCACGCUGGUGACGCAAGCACGCCGGACGGUGCCCGUGAGCGGCGUCUGAGCAACAACGUUUCCA